ACCCUUCAUUGCCAAUAAUGCAGCUCCAUAGGCAGCUUCAGUCUGGUCUGCCUUGCACACGGGCAAACCGAGUACCCUCUCGCGUAUCUUUAUCCAUUUUUGGUUUUUAGAACCUCCUCCAGAAGUGAUCACUUCUUCAACAGGGGUGGCCCCUAGAUCCUUCAGCAACUUGUAUCCCUUUGCCUCAAUGCGAGCAAUUGAUUCAAG
rnacentral:misc_RNA from 1 species